rnacentral:rRNA from 1 species
GUUGAACGCUGGCGGCAGGCCUAACACAUGCAAGUCGAGCGGAAACGAGUUAUCUGAACCUUCGGGGAACGAUAACGGCGUCGAGCGGCGGACGGGUGAGUAAUGCCUAGGAAAUUGCCCUGAUGUGGGGAUAACUAUUGGAAACGAUAGCUAAUACCGCAUAAUGCCUACGGGCCAAAGAGGGGGACCUUCGGGCCUCUCGCGCUAAGAUUAGCCCAGGUGGGAUUAGCUAGUUGGUGGGGUAACGGCUCACCAAGGCGACGAUCCCUAGCUGGUCUGAGAGGAUGAUCAGCCACACUGGAACUGAGACACGGUCCAG